UACGGAGGGUGCAACCGUUGCUCGGAAUUAUUGGGCGUAAAGCGCUCGUAGGCGGCUUGUUAAGUCGGGUGUGAAAGCCCAGGGCUCAACCCUGGAAGUGCACUCGAAACUGGCGAGCUUGAAUAUGGAAGAGGGUCGCGGAAUUCCCGGUGUAGAGGUGAAAUUCGUAGAUAUCGGGAGGAACACCAGUGGCGAAGGCGGCGACCUGGGCAGAUACUGACGCUGAGGUGCGAAAGCGUGGGGAGCAAACAGG
rnacentral:rRNA from 1 species